AAACCAUGACUAGGACAUUUCCUUAACAUAGACUUGUAUCUCUCCCAAGCUUCACAGAGUGUCUCAUUAGAACCUUGAGAAAACACAGCAAUAGAUGUUUUGGCCU